AACGAACGCUGGCGGCAUGCCUAACACAUGCAAGUCGAACGAGACCUUCGGGUCUAGUGGCGCACGGGUGCGUAACGCGUGGGAACCUGCCUUUAGGUUCGGAAUAACUCAGAGAAAUUUGAGCUAAUACCGGAUGAUGUCUUCGGACCAAAGAUUUAUCGCCUUUAGAUGGGCCCGCGUUGGAUUAGCUAGUUGGUGGGGUAAAGGCCUACCAAGGCGACGAUCCAUAGCUGGUCUGAGAGGAUGAUCAGCCACACUGGGACUGAGACACGGCCCAGACUCCUACGGGAGGCAGCAGUGGGGAAUAUUGGACAAUGGGCGAAAGCCUGAUCCAGCAAUGCCGCGUGAGUGAUGAAGGCCUUAGGGUUGUAAAGCUUUUUUACCCGAGAUGAUAAUGACAGUAGCGGGAGAAUAAGCUCCGGCUAACUCCGUG
rnacentral:rRNA from 1 species